rfam:Salmo salar isolate Sally breed double haploid chromosome ssa27, whole genome shotgun sequence.
GUGGUUCCAAUUUGUAAGUCGCUCUGGAUAAGAGCGUCUGCUAAAUGACUAAAA